AACGAACGCUGGCGGCAUGCCUAACACAUGCAAGUCGAACGAGACCUUCGGGUCUAGUGGCGCACGGGUGCGUAACGCGUGGGAACCUGCCCUUAGGUUCGGAAUAACUCCCCGAAAGGGGUGCUAAUACCGGGUAAUGUCUUCGGACCAAGGAUUUAUCGCCUUUGGAGGGGCCCGCGUUGGUUUAGCUAGGUGGUAGGGUAAAAGCCUACCAGGGCGUCGCUCCAUAGCUGGUCUGAGAGGAUGGGCAGCCACACUGGGACUGGGACCCGGUCCAGACUCCUACGGGAGGCAGCAGUGGGUAAUACUGGACAAUGGGCUGAAGCCUGAUCCAGCAAGGCCGCGUGAGGGAUGAAGGCCGUAGGGUUGUAAAGCUCUUUUACCCGGGAUUAUAAUGACAGUACCGGGAGAAUAAGCUCCGGCUAACUCCGUG
rnacentral:rRNA from 1 species